rnacentral:rRNA from 1 species
UACGAAGGUGGCAAGCGUUGUUCGGAUUUACUGGGCGUACAGGGAGCGUAGGCGGUUGGAUAAGCCCUCCGUGAAAUCUCCAGGCUUAACCUGGAAAGUGCAGAGGGGACUGUUCAGCUAGAGGAUGGGAGAGGAGCGCGGAAUUCCCGGUGUAGCGGUGAAAUGCGUAGAGAUCGGGAGGAAGGCCGGUGGCGAAGGCGGCGUGCUGGGUUGCAACUGACGCUGAGAUGCGAAAGUGUGGGGAGCAAACGGGG